UGUUGUGAUGUUCUGCCAUUUUACCCACAUUGUUUUUAAAAUCUAAGAUUAGAAGGCAAAUUGCUGACACACCA